rnacentral:lncRNA from 1 species
CCUAAAUCGGAUUAAUGUCACCUAAAAAAGAAGAAAUUGACAGAUGACAGCUGUCAAUUUAAUUUAUAACCUAUUAAACACUAUGUUUAAUCCACUUUAAUCAUUGAUUAGGUAAUGUUUUAAUGUUUACUUAGGAAUAUUUAUGUCAGGGAACAAUAAAUAAUGACAAUAAUAAUAAUAUUUGAACAAAAAGAUAUUUAAUAACAACAAAAAAUGGCGCUAGCACAGUUUAAUAAAUCCCUAGAUUCCAAAAAAAAUCCCUCCAGAGCUCCAAAAGCUUGAAAAAAUCCCUAGAUUCGGGGAAAAUCCCUAGACAUGGUAACCCUGUGUGAUAAUAAAGCCUAAGACUACAAUUGAGUUUUAAUUUCAAUAUUUUUUAUAAAUAUGCUAUAAUAUACCACAGUGUUCUGAACUUUUUUUGUUACAUCCUGUAUAUUAAAUAAUAAUGAAAUUAGGCAAUCCAAACCACGUGACCUCUGGUUGGCACACAAACUAACAAAGAGGUUAUGUUUGUAUCUAUUUUUCAAUAAUUUUUCAUUGUUUAUCGUCGUAUUUUGGAUUCAUUUGGAUUUCGUUUCCUGUUUUUGCGAACUUUAUAAACUUUACCACAAUGCAAACUGAUUAUUUAAGGAAAUUAUUAUUGGAAACUCCAGAUGUUGCGAGAAAGAUAUUUAUUGAAGCUGAAAAUAAUUGGGGAUUUAGAUCCAUACGCAAUUCAGUCAGAAUUGGAUUUUACAGUAAAGUGCAGUCCAUCAAGUUACUAUUAUAGAUAUUUAUACAUAUACAUAUCUGGUGGAGUCUGAUAUGUCACAGUUGCUACUCUAAGCAGCAGAUGAAAGCAUACAAAAGCCUUCAGGCACAUAAAUAUUUUACAGCUGGAUUUGUUUUGAAUGGAGUAAAAAUUGUUAAUGAUUUCCUGAUUUCCAUAUUAUUGUCGGAAAGGUGAAUAUUUCCAAAAAUCUAAUGCUAAAUGACUAAAUGCUUGGGUGGGGUGAUAGCCAGUUCUGAUGACAUAGCAAAUUCACAUUGUAUGCGUAUGGCCGGUAAUAGUGAAGUCUGCAGCCAUAUUGCAGCAAUCCUAUUUUUAGCUUAGUAUGCUCAGGGCAAGACAGACGAAGAAGAACCCAAUGUAUGUACAUAUGUUACAGCUACAUGGUUUGGAGAUAGCAACAUAUCGAUACUUUUUUGGCAAAGUAACGUAAGUGACAUUUUUGGCGAAAAUCAUGUUUUUCCAUUAAACUAACACUAUUAUUAUUUAGAAGGUACUGCCAAAGUGUAGUAAGCCUAGAAUUACUUUAAACAUAAUAUAUGUAUGGGCUUACUACACUUUGGCAGUGCCUUCUGAACAAUAAUAGCGUUAGUUUAAUGAAAAAACAUGAUUUUCAAAAAUGUCACUUACGUUACUUUGCCAAAAAUGUAUCGAUAUGCAUUCUCUGAUGAAAAACUAAUGAAUUUUGAAACUGUUCGGUCAGAGUGCUUGUUGCACUCACUAAACGAAUUGAAAUAUAAGAUGGCUUUGGCAUUGUGUUUUAGUGAUAUGAAAAUGGUUAUUCAUUUUUAAUUAUAAUGUACUUCUUCAUCAUGAGUAAUUAUGUAUUGGUCUUUUAAAUGUGUAUUUAUUUUUGUAAUUAGUAUCAACUUGUAAUGAUAAUAUACAUUUAUCGUUUAAGGUAUGACUAUGUUUUGACUCUAAAAUAAAUGUUUUAAAAAUCAAA